rnacentral:rRNA from 1 species
GACGAACCGUGCGAACGUUGUUCGGAAUCACUGGGCUUAAAGGGCGCGUAGGCGGUCUGUCAAGUCGGUGGUGAAAUCUUUCGGCUCAACCGGAAAACUGCCAUCGAUACUGACAGGCUGGAGGGAGGUAGGGGUUGCGGGAACUACCAGUGGAGCGGUGAAAUGCGUUGAUAUUGGUAGGAACGCCGGUGGCGAAAGCGCGCAACUGGACCUCUUCUGACGCUGAGGCGCGAAAGCUAGGGGAGCAAACGGG